rnacentral:rRNA from 1 species
UAAUACGUAGGGCGCAAGCGUUGUCCGGAAUUAUUGGGCGUAAAGAGCUCGUAGGCGGCUUGUCACGUCGGGUGUGAAAGCCCGGGGCUUAACCCCGGGUCUGCAUUCGAUACGGGCUAGCUAGAGUGUGGUAGGGGAGAUCGGAAUUCCUGGUGUAGCGGUGAAAUGCGCAGAUAUCAGGAGGAACACCGGUGGCGAAGGCGGAUCUCUGGGCCAUUACUGACGCUGAGGAGCAAAAGCGUGGGGAGCGAACAGGAUUAGAUACCCUGGUAGUCCACGCCGUAAACGGUGGGAACUAGGUGUUGGCGACAUUCCACGUCGUCGGUGCCGCAGCUAACGCAUUAAGUUCCCCGCCUGGGGAGUACGGCCGCAAGGC